rnacentral:rRNA from 1 species
GCUCAACCGAGGAAGUGCUUCGAAAACUGGUAAACUUGAGUGCAGAAGAGGAAAGUGGAACUCCAUGUGUAGCGGUGGAAUGCGUAGAUAUAUGGAAGAACACCAGUGGCGAAGGCGGCUUUCUGGUCUGUAACUGACGCUGAGAUUCGAAAGCAUGGGUAGCAAACAGGAUUAGAUACCCUGGUAGUCCAUGCCGUAAACGAUGAGUGCUAAGUGUUGGAGGGUUUCCGUCCUUCAGUGCUGCAGCUAACGCAUUAAGCACUCCGCCUGGGGAGUACGAUCGCAAGAUUGAAACUCAAAGGAAUUGACGGGGGCCCGCACAAGCGGUGGAGCAUGUGGUUUAAUUCGAAGCCGCGCGAAGAACCUUACCAGGUCUUGACAUACCAUGAAAAGCUAAGAGAUUAGUCUUUCCCUUCGGGGACAUGGAUACAGGUGGUGCAUGGUUGUCGUCAGCUCGUGUCGUGAGAUGUUGGGUUAAGUCCCGCAACGAGCGCAACCCUUAUUAUCAGUUGCCAGCAUUCAGUUGGGCACUCUGGUGAGACUGCCGGUGACAAACCGGAGGAAGGUGGGGACGACGUCAAAUCAUCAUGCCCCUUAUGACCUGGGCUACACACGUGCUACAAUGGUCGGUACAACG